CAGUCGCCACGGUAAAACGAAGGGUGCAAGCGUUACUCGGAAUUACUGGGCGUAAAGCGUGCGUAGGUGGUGGUUUAAGUCCGUUGUGAAAGCCCUGGGCUCAACCUGGGAAUUGCAGUGGAUACUGGGUCACUAGAGUGUGGUAGAGGAUAGUGGAAUUUCCGGUGUAGCAGUGAAAUGCGUAGAGAUCGGAAGGAACAUCUGUGGCGAAGGCGACUAUCUGGGCCAACACUGACACUGAGGCACGAAAGCGUGGGGAGCAAACAGGAUUAGAUACCCGCGUAGUCCCUGUCUCUUAUAA
rnacentral:rRNA from 1 species